rnacentral:lncRNA from 10 species
GAGUCCACCCGCGCCCCGGAGUCCACCCGCGCAGGUCCACUUCUCCAUCCCUGCUCUCGACCUCCGCCCCUGCGGUGGGGGAAGUUCCUGGGGCGGUGGCUGGGACCAGGCCGGGUUUUAGGCGGGCGCAGAUUUCCGGGCUAACUUUCCUCGCCGUCUCAGCGCGGGAAGGGGGAAAUGGGAAACCCGGGCCAGAGCAGCGGAGCUUCCCAGCCGCACACUUCCUCCCUCCAGCCGUUUGUCUCGGCAGGGGAGGGCCCAGGCAGCCAAGCCGGCAGGCCCACUGGUUAUCCGACCUUGUGCUCUGGCCGUGGGUGGAGACCUUACAUCCAGCUCAGAGCGCCUCCUCCCAUCCCCUGUGUCCUCUAGGCCUCCCCAGACUUUGCCUUUUAGCCUUCCAGUGAAACAAGUUCUGUAUCCAAGAUAUACAAUUAAGUGGACAAAGCAGAUUGCAGAAAGUCUUUUCGUAGCUCACAAGGGGACAUCAAAGAUGACAAAGAGGAGUGGAAGAAGACAGAGAGAAUCAAUGUGAGGAGCCUGGAACAGGGCUCUGAAUUGUCUUCCCACAGUGAAAUCACUUGUCUAUUGCUGAGCCAAGAAUUUGACUCUGAGCAUCUAGGAUGAGAAAGAAGAACUGGCACCUACGCCAUCUCUGCCCCUCGGGACUGACUAUUUUGUCUUCUAGUAAAAUUGAUGCUCCAAGAAGAUACACAACGUUGACCAUGUGGAUUCAGAUAUCUCCCGCUUGGAUCUCAGCCUGGAUCUUGUUGUUUGAGAAGCAUAGAUUAGCUACAGAAUGCCAUGUCAUACAUCCAAUAAAAUUCAACUCUGCAAGCAUGAGAGAGAAGAGGAAGGAAAAGAGAGAAUCUGAAGUGUGAGUGAUUCUGUUUACCAUUCCACAGAAGUUGGAUCACUAGAGGGCAAUAUCGGCCAAGAGAAAGAAGAAUUCUUCACCACCGUUUCUAGGACUGGUGAAG